UACGUAGGUGGCAAGCGUUGUCCGGAUUUACUGGGUGUAAAGGGCGUGCAGCCGGGAAUGCAAGUCAGAUGUGAAAUCCAUGGGCUUAACCCAUGAACUGCAUUUGAAACUGUAUUUCUUGAGUACUGGAGAGGCAAUCGGAAUUCCUAGUGUAGCGGUGAAAUGCGUAGAUAUUAGGAGGAACACCAGUGGCGAAGGCGGAUUGCUGGACAGCAACUGACGGUGAGGCGCGAAAGUGUGGGGAGCAAACAGG
rnacentral:rRNA from 2 species